rnacentral:rRNA from 1 species
AACGAACGCUGGCGGCAUGCCUAACACAUGCAAGUCGAACGAGACCUUCGGGUCUAGUGGCGCACGGGUGCGUAACGCGUGGGAAUCUACCCUUGGGUUCGGAAUAACAGUUAGAAAUGACUGCUAAUACCGGAUGAUGACGUAAGUCCAAAGAUUUAUCGCCAAAGGAUGAGCCCGCGUAAGAUUAGCUUGUUGGUGGGGUAAUGGCCUACCAAGGCGACGAUCUUUAGCUGGUCUGAGAGGAUGAUCAGCCACACUGGGACUGAGACACGGCCCAGACUCCUACGGGAGGCAGCAGUGGGGAAUAUUGGACAAUGGGCGAAAGCUUGAUCCAGCAAUGCCGCGUGAGUGAUGAAGGCCUUAGGGUUGUAAAGCUCUUUUACCAGGGAUGAUAAUGACAGUACCUGGAGAAUAAGCUCCGGCUAACUCCGUGCCAGCCGCCGCGGUAA